rnacentral:rRNA from 1 species
UACGGGGGGAGCAAGCGUUGUUCGGAUUUACUGGGCGUAAAGGGCUCGUAGGCGGCCAACUAAGUCGGACGUGAAAUCCCCAGGCUCAACCUGGGAACUGCAUCCGAUACUGGAUGGCUUGAAUUCGGGAGAGGGAUGCAGAAUUCCAGGUGUAGCGGUGAAAUGCGCAGAUAUCGGGAGGAACACCAGUGGCGAAGGCGGCACUCUGGGCCAGUAUUGACGCUGAGGAGCGAAAGCGUGGGGAGCGAACGAGG